rnacentral:rRNA from 1 species
UAACGCGUGGGGAACCGUGCCCUAUACAGGGGAGUAACAGCUGGAAACGGUUGCUAAUACCGCAUAAGCGCACAGAAUCGCAUGAUUCAGUGUGAAAAGCCCUGGCAGUAUAGGAUGGUCCCGCGUCUGAUUAGCUGGUUGGUGAGGUAACGGCUCACCAAGGCGACGAUCAGUAGCCGGCUUGAGAGAGUGAACGGCCACAUUGGGACUGAGACACGGCCCAA